rnacentral:rRNA from 1 species
CCUACGGGUGGCAGCAGUAGGGAAUCUUCCACAAUGGACGAAAGUCUGAUGGAGCAACGCCGCGUGAGUGAAGAAGGGUUUCGGCUCGUAAAGCUCUGUUGGUAGUGAAGAAAGAUAGAGGUAGUAACUGGCCUUUAUUUGACGGUAAUUACUUAGAAAGUCACGGCUAACUACGUGCCAGCAGCCGCGGUAAUACGUAGGUGGCAAGCGUUGUCCGGAUUUAUUGGGCGUAAAGCGAGUGCAGGCGGUUCAAUAAGUCUGAUGUGAAAGCCUUCGGCUCAACCGGAGAAUUGCAUCAGAAACUGUUGAACUUGAGUGCAGAAGAGGAGAGUGGAACUCCAUGUGUAGCGGUGGAAUGCAUAGAUAUAAGGAAGAACACCAGUGGCGAAGGCGGAUUACUGGACGAUAACUGACGGUGAGGCGCGAAAGCGUGGGGAGCAAACAGGAUUAGAUACCCUUGUAGUC